UACGGAGGGUGCGAGCGUUGUCCGGAAUCACUGGGCGUAAAGGGCGCGUAGGCGGCCUGAUAUGUCGAGGGUGAAAUCCUGCGGCUUAACCGCAGGGCUGCCUUCUAAACUGUCAGGCUUGAGCACAGUAGAGGCAGGUGGAAUUCCCGGUGUAGCGGUGGAAUGCGUAGAGAUCGGGAAGAACAUCAGUGGCGAAGGCGGCCUGCUGGGCUGUUGCUGACGCUGAGGCGCGACAGCGUGGGGAGCAAACAGG
rnacentral:rRNA from 1 species